rnacentral:rRNA from 1 species
UACGUAGGGACCAAGCGUUGUUCGGAUUUACUGGGCGUAAAGGGCGCGUAGGCGGCAAUUCAAGUUCAUCUGUGAAAUCUCCGGGCUUAACUCGGAAUGGUCAGGUGAUACUGCUUUGCUAGAGUGCAGAAGGGGCAAUCGGGAAUUCUUGGUGUAGCGGUGAAAUGCGUAGAUAUCAAGAGGAACACCUGAGGUGAAGACGGGUUGCUGGGCUGACACUGACGUGAGGCGCGAAAGCUAGGGGAGCAAACGGG